rnacentral:snRNA from 1 species
AUCGCUUCUCGGCCUUUUGGCUAAGAUCAAGUGUAGUAUCUGUUCUUAUCAGUUUAAUCUCUGAUACAUUCCCCAUCGGGGAAUCUAGAUUAAAUUGAUUUUUGAAAGUUGGUCAUGGAAUAAGAGCUUGCUCUGUCCUGACCGCGGAUCGGCUCGGUAUUGCAGUACCUCCGAGAUCGGUCCAUCCCCU